rnacentral:piRNA from 1 species
UCCUAACGGCAUCAUGAGAUCACCUCUCA